GUGCUCGCUUCGGCAGCACAUACACUAAAAUUGGAACGAUACUGAGAAGAUUAGCAUGGCCCGAGCAAGGAAUUUUAUUACACAGUGUCUUAAUAAACAGUU